rnacentral:rRNA from 1 species
GACGAACGCUGGCGGCGUGCUUAACACAUGCAAGUCGAACGGAAAGGCCCUGCUUUUGUGGGGUGCUCGAGUGGCGAACGGGUGAGUAACACGUGAGUAACCUGCCCUUGACUUUGGGAUAACUUCAGGAAACUGGGGCUAAUACCGGAUAGGAGCUCCUGCUGCAUGGUGGGGGUUGGAAAGUUUCGGCGGUUGGGGAUGGACUCGCGGCUUAUCAGCUUGUUGGUUGGGUAGUGGCUUACCAAGGCUUUGACGGGUAGCCGGCCUGAGAGGGUGACCGGCCACAUUGGGCCGGGGAUACGGCCCGGACCCCAACGGGAGGCAGCGGUGGGGAAUAGUGUACAAGGGGCGGAAGCCUAAUGCAGCACCGCCGCGUGGGGGAUGACGGCCUUCGGGUUGUAUUGCGCUUUCGCCUGUGACGAAGCGUGAGUGACGGUAAUGGGUAAAGAAGCACCGGCUAACUCCGUG